UAGGUCUCUUAGAUCCUAUGGCAUUCACAAUUUGCUUGUUAAUAUUCACACUUGUAUCCAUAUGCAAAUGGUAAAGACCAUCAAUCAAGAAAGCACAUGCAAUAAUUUUAUUUUCGAAAUAAAUUGAACACAUAUCUUUAUUGAAAUAAAAAUUAUAGUUGUCCUGUGCUAGCACAAAGAUGGAAAUCAAAUUUCUACUGACUACAAGUACAUAAUAAUAGUCUUUUAAAAUUAAACUAAGUCCUAACGGUAGUCAUAGAGAAUAGGUUUCGAUGGUCACAGCAGCAACUUUUGCUCCAUUGCCGACCUGGAGAGUGAUCUCGCCUUCCCUUAGUCCCCUUACUUUUUCAAGACCCUGUAUAGAAGUACACAAAUGAGCACUUGAUCCAAAAUCUAGAACCCAAUAAGAAGAAAAAGAAACCAUUAGAUUAGUUUCAAUAAUGAGCACUUCAGACGUAUCUUCAGAAGGCCCAUCCUUCUUUCGAUUUUUGACAAUCGUCAGGUAGACCAGAUUUGUUCCUUUUCCAGUGGCCUUCAACGUUACAAUGGAAACACUUUCUCUUAUCAUCGACCUGCUUUGGAAUCUAUUUCUUGGGCUUGGCCUCGUUCUUCUGCUUUUUCAUAGACUUCUUCUUC
rnacentral:lncRNA from 1 species